GGCGUUAAGUUGCAGGGUAUAGACCCGAAACCCGGUGAUCUAGCCAUGGGCAGGUUGAAGGUUGGGUAACACUAACUGGAGGACCGAACCGACUAAUGUUGAAAAAUUAGCGGAUGACCUGUGGCUGGGGGUGAAAGGCCAAUCAAACCGGGAGAUAGCUGGUUCUCCCCGAAAGCUAUUUAGGUAGCGCCUCGUGAACUCAUCUCCGGGGGUAGAGCACUGUUUCGGCUAGGGGGCCAUCCCGGCUUACCAACCCGAUGCAAACUGCGAAUACCGGAGAAUGUUAUCACGGGAGACACACGGCGGGUGCUAACGUCCGUCGUGAAGAGGGAAACAACCCAGACCGCCAGCUAAGGUCCCAAAGUCAUGGUUAAGUGGGAAACGAUGUGGGAAGGCCCAGACAGCCAGGAUGUUGGCUUAGAAGCAGCCAUCAUUUAAAGAAAGCGUAAUAGCUCACUGGUCGAGUCGGCCUGCGCGGAAGAUGUAACGGGGCUAAACCAUGCACCGAAGCUGCGGCAGCGACAUUUAGGUGUUGUUGGGUAGGGGAGCGUUCUGUAAGCCUGUGAAGGUGGCCUGUGAGGGUUGCUGGAGGUAUCAGAAGUGCGAAUGCUGACAUAAGUAACGAUAAAGCGGGUGAAAAGCCCGCUCGCCGGAAGACCAAGGGUUCCUGUCCAACGUUAAUCGGGGCAGGGUGAGUCGACCCCUAAGGCGAGGCCGAAAGGCGUAGUCGAUGGGAAACGGGUUAAUAUUCC
rnacentral:rRNA from 1 species